rnacentral:lncRNA from 1 species
UUUUCAUUUACAAAAACUUUAGAGAAAGCAAAAUCGCUUUCUAAAUUUUUGUCGUCUAUAAUGAAGCAUAGCAUUAGAACAAGUAGAAGAUUUGAUAAACCAAAUAAACUACACCGUUUGUAAAUAUAAAAUUUUUCUUUAUAAGUAUACUAAUUGAAGUGUUUGAUAAGCACUCAUUGGCUAAGUGAUUGUCAUAAAAUAAUUAAUAUCAGAUAAAGAGGUUUUGUUUAAUUUUAUAAGUAUAUUAAUUGAAGUGUUUGAUAAGCACUCAUUGGCUGAGUGAUUGUCAUUUCCUCUUUAAGUGAAAUGUUUCAAUUCUUGGUGGACAUAUGAGAGUAUGCCUUUCCCACCAAUAUUUAGAGUAGAGACAAUCUAUUUGCUCAUAAUUAUUCGAGCCACAUAUAAUUAAACUUAAUCUAGAUGCUAUGGCUAGUUAGCUACCUUGCUAGGUGAAAUUACACUACAACAUUUGUACAUUGCAAUAGUUACAAUUUUUUGGUUAUAGAUCACAAUUUUUUUUUUUUUGGGUUAUUUGCCACGAGUUUAUUAUUACGUAUGUGAAUUUAUAUUUGAAUUUGAGAUGGGUAGCGCAAAACUUAGAAAAUGUAACCUACAAAAUUAGAAAAUGUGACAAAAAAGAAAAUUGUGAUUAAUAAAUCGAAAUUUAUGCCGAUUGUAACCCAUAGAACAACAGAUAAACACUUGCCGGAAUUAUAUGCGUUCUUAUGCCGCAUUACCAAUUGAAAGAGUAUGGUUGUGCUGUGUGCAUGUGAUGGUGACGAAAAUGGGACAUCUCAUACUUUUUGAAACCAAGGCCCAGCAUGGAUUGGGUGGGUCUGGUAGCUUACCAAAACAUUCACUGCAAUGAGCUAGUUCCAAUUAGAAAUGACCAAAGCCACUAGGAUUUACAACUCAAACUUCACAAUUGUGAGGUCAUGAGUUCGAGCUCCUACAAUGUAUUGUAGGGGUUUAAUUUUAUUCUCUAAUUUGAGUUAAACUAAUCUUCUCCUUUUCAAAAUGUAACUGGAGUAGACUUCUCUCGAAUAUUACAGAGGGUAAAAAUCUGAACGGUAUUUUAUAAGAAUUGAUGUAAACUAGUCUCAGUAAUAAUUUGAUUUGUAAAUAUCAAUUAAAAAAAUUAAAAAUUACCAGUUAUAUUUGAGCCUAAUCUAACAUUGUAUUUUCGUUCUUAUAAUGCUGUAUUAUUGGUUGUUUUUAUCCCAUAAUGAAAGGUUUAUUUUCUGAAAAAAAAACUGUAAAUGACUAAAGCAACAUGAGUGAUUGUGUGAACAUGAAAGGCAUUAUGGCUGUGCAUGGAAAACAGCCACUUGCAAUAUCAUUAGUAGACAAACUAAACAACUAGCCAGCUUGGAAUUUUCUCUUUGACAAUCAACAACUGCAUCUUUAGUUGGCCCCAAUGAUUAUUCGUUAGGUGCGUUCAUUAUCAUCUUCAUUUUUGUACUACCUCUUUGAUAAAAUAUACUCAUUAACUACGUAUGUAUUAGCGUAUCAAAAAAUUUUACCCGUUGAAGAAAUACAUUGUAUUGUGAUUGGGUUUACCAAAAAGAUGACAUAGAAAACACAAAAUAAAUAAACAAAUACCAGUAGAUCAAGAGACAAGAAUCAUUUUUUAACUUGGCAGCUACUCAACUGAGGCAGCAAAGUAAUGAAUGAGGGUAGAAAUUUUUUUAAGCAACUUUAGGACCAAUUGUAGGUAAAGAUCCCUAAUUCCCUAUUCUUUUAAGGGGCACUGCCCCACGAAUUGUCAGAGAAUUUCAUCUUCCCCAAUAAUGAUGUUAAAAGAUUUAAAGCUUGCACCAAGCACAUGACUGAAAAAGAAAGAGGAAAAAGAGGCAUGAGCGCUGAGACAUCCAUCGACAGUCUUCAUACAAUUUAGCUUUAGUAGUCCAAGUAUUGUUCACAUCAGCUAAAAAAAAUACAACAUAGCACUGGGUCCAUACUCCACAGGCAAUACUGCAAAAGCAAAAAACAACUGCAUGCCGUAUAAGUUAUCAACUUUUCUGAAACACGUCUUGUUCUAAUGGCAAAAUUCAAGCCCUGGCUUUAGAUUUUAGGGAGUGCGUGAACUAAAAAGCACUUAUUCAAUUGGUUUGUUUAUUCUAAAAGCAGCUUUGAUUGUCAGAUUACAACAAAAAUAUGCAUUACUAUUCAUUGUAAUAUUCUUAAGUGGUAAUUGAAUCAGAAUAUGGUGAACAUGCAGUAAUGAUUGGAGAUAUUAAAGCUGAAAAGGCAAAUAAUUUGUGUUAAAGUUUUAAUUAGCUUAGUCUUAUGGUUGGUGAAAUAUAAUGAUAGUAUCAUAUUGAUAUUGUUGACAAGCUUAUUGGUGCAUUUUAAUGGGGGGUAAUGGGUUCCCAUUUGGGAGACAUCAUUAUGAAUCUGCUCACUAAUUAUACUAGAAAGUUGUUACUAAUCCAGAGUUCUUCUUGAAAUUAUACAGGGGCUUGGCAAGUUGACAAGAUUUUGGAACUUCCACAUCAUUGGUAAUAUAUAAAAGCUUGCAUUUGCACACAUGAAUGAGCGCCAUAUCUGCAGCAAUGAUCUGCAUAAAUACAACUUUAGCUAAAUAAAGUGGUCAAAAACAAAAUAAUAAUAAUAAAGGCAAUUGCAUUAGAGAGGAAUUUGAGGCCAAAAGGGAGGUCAUAUUUAGAUUUUUUUUUUUUAAUGUAGAAAGCAUUUAUGUUUGGGAUCUAACUAAUUACAGUACUCUUAGGAUACUGUGUGGACAGUUUAAACACUAUUUUUUUUUUAUGGUAAAACUGGGUAUUUUAUUUCAGAAAUCAACUUAAAAAUAACAUUCUAAAAAAUUUAGGUAAUCGUGCAACCAACUUAAUGAAUCAGGACAUUAAAUAGCAAAUUUAGCUAAUACAUCAGUCACAUGAUUACAACAUCUAGAAAUUUACCAAAGUUAGAAAUUUUCCCUCACUAAAAUUAGCAUUUGAAUCUAUGAAAUAAUGCAAAAUAACUUUAUACGUGUAUACAAAUUAUUUAAAUAAAAUUUAAUAAAAUGUGAUUAAUUGAUUGUUCAGAUUGUGGAGUACAAUAUUUAAUAAUAUUAUAUCCUUGUAGUUGUUCAAAUUAUCAAUAACAAUAGGCUUACAAAUUUAAAAACAAAGUUUAUCUCAUUAGACGUGAUAAAUGAUAUGACACUAUGUCAUUAAGUUAUAUGAUAAUUAAUUAUUAUGUCUUAUCAUCAAAUUGAUGAAUUUAAAGUGGUAACUCAUCACGAAGAUCCAAACUUUAUAUUUAAUUAACUAAAAAAUUUUUGAUAAAAAGCAUACAUUUGAUUCAAUUCCCCUCCUAGGGAGAAUGUUGGAUUUUGUCCGUUCGCACGUGGGCUAGAACACUCCUAUAAUUGAGAGAGGCACUACAUGUAAGUAAAAUCCCGGAUUAUGCCAUAGGCCUAUAACCUAUAAUUAGACUAUACCUAAUUCACCAUUUUGGUAUUUUUUAGAAAAAAAAUCAAAGACAACGAUGGUACUAAAAUGAUUUUAAGCACACCUACGACAUGGGAUAUGGAACUACAUGUGAUUAGUCCAACGUUCUAAAAGAAUUAGCUUGAAUUGAAGACUUUCACAGCCUAAUAAAAAUAGUAUCUUCGAAAUUGAAAGAAACUUAACAAACUUCAAGAACGAACCUUUGCACAAGCACGGACUUGAAGUCUUGAACUGACAACGAUAAAUGAAUUUAGCAUACAAUGAAAAACCCAACAAAUACCAUAAACCAAAACUCAUCCAAACUCAACCACUUUAUUAUUUUUUUUUUUUUCUAACCACUAGCUCUGUUUUUUUCUCAUUAUAAAAAACAUGAAUAGAAUUGAGUGUCCGGAAUAUUUGUCGAACACAACAAUUACAAGAGGACAAUAAAUACAUAUGAAUGCUUCCAUUCAAACAUGAAUGGGGUUAGCAAUGUCACGCACCAAACCAAUUAAAAAGAGGACUUUUGGCGAAAAGAAAUUGAAAAAGAACAAAACGUUAAGUUACAACAUUUCAGCAUUAGGUGGGCUUCUUUUUGCCCACUCUGCAUUUUUUAUUACAACUUUAUAUCUUUUUUAUUUGUUGUUGACUUUGUCCAUUCAUUUUUCAUUACCUGCCUUUUUCCCCCCCCCUAAUUAGCGGGGGCCACGUUACCGUUAUGAUUGAUCCCCCCAUUUGAAUUAUAAGUGCUGGUGCUACUGUUUGAUUUGAUUAUCUCAAAUGCCUGAUCUACCCUUGCCUACUACAUCCAAUUGUUUGAAAAAUUCUAUGGUAAGUACAAACUAAUUACUUCUGUUAUUUCCAAGUACUUUCAACAGCAAUGCUCUUCUCAACCGAAAAAAAAAAAAAAAACAAAAAACCGUUAUGCGAUAUCUAUUACUAGAAGAUGCAUAUAAAGCACUCUUAGGUAGUGUUUACUUUCUGGAGUGGGAGUGUGGAGUGUGGAUUCCUCCCACUCCAGUGUUUACUUACCUUAAAAAAGGGGGGAGUGGGAGUGGGAAUCCGUGGGUCCCACCUAAUUUUAGAGUGGGGAGUGGGAAUCCGUGGGUCCCACCUAAUUUUGGAGUGGGGAGUGGGAUUCCCACUCCCAUGGGGAGAGGUGGGAGUGGGAAUCCACUCCCCC